rnacentral:rRNA from 1 species
UCGUAGCAGAGCUGAAUUACAAAGAUACCCUUCGGGGUGAUUUGUUGGACGCUAGCGGCGGAUGGGUGAGUAACACGUGGGCAAUCUGCCCUAAAGACUGGGAUACCACUUGGAAACAGGUGCUAAUACCGGAUAACAACAUGAAUCGCAUGAUUCAAGUUUGAAAGGCGGCGCAAGCUGUCACUUUAGGAUGAGCCCGCGGCGCAUUAGCUAGUUGGUGGGGUAAAGGCCUACCAAGGCAAUGAUGCGUAGCCGAGUUGAGAGACUGAUCGGCCACAUUGGGACUGAGACACGGCCCAAACUCCUACGGGAGGCAGCAGUAGGGAAUCUUCCACAAUGGACGCAAGUCUGAUGGAGCAACGCCGCGUGAGUGAAGAAGGUCUUCGGAUCGUAAAGCUCUGUUGUUGGUGAAGAAGGAUAGAGGCAGUAACUGGUCUUUAUUUGACGGUAAUCAACCAGAAAGUCACGGCUAACUACGUGCCAGCAGCCGCGGUAAUACGUAGGUGGCAAGCGUUGUCCGGAUUUAUUGGGCGUAAAGCGAGCGCAGGCGGAAUGAUAAGUCUGAUGUGAAAGCCCACGGCUCAACCGUGGAACUGCAUCGGAAACUGUCAUUCUUGAGUGCAGAAGAGGAGAGUGGAACUCCAUGUGUAGCGGUGGAAUGCGUAGAUAUAUGGAAGAACACCAGUGGCGAAGGCGGCUCUCUGGUCUGCAACUGACGCUGAGGCUCGAAAGCAUGGGUAGCGAACAGGAUUAGAUACCCUGGUAGUCCAUGCCGUAAACGAUGAGCGCUAGGUGUUGGGGACUUUCCGGGUCCUCAGUGCCGCAGCAAACGCAUUAAGCGCUCCGCCUGGGGAGUACGACCGCAAGGUUGAAACUCAAAGGAAUUGAC